rnacentral:misc_RNA from 1 species
UACGUAUGGUGCAAGCGUUGUUCGGAAUCACUGGGCAUAAAGAGCACGUAGGCGGCUCAGCAAGUCAGGUGUGAAAGCCCUCGGCUCAACCGAGGAAUUGCACCUGAAACUGCUUUGCUCGAGUGCGGGAGGGGAGAACGGAAUUCCUGGUGGAGCGGUGAAAUGCGUAGAUAUCAGGAGGAACGCCGGAGGCGAAAGCGGUUCUCUGGCCCGCAACUGACGCUGAGGUGCGAAAGCUAGGGGAGCAAACAGG